GUGGAGGAUGAAGGUCUUCGGAUUGUAAACUCCUGUUAAGGGUGAAGAAAGCUUUGCAAAUAAUACGUGCAAAGUAUGACGGUACCCCUAGAGAAAGCACCGGCUAACUUCGUGCCAGCAGCCGCGGUAAUACGAGGGGUGCAAGCGUUAUUCGGAAUGAUUGGGCGUAAAGGGUGCGUAGGCGGUGUGCUAAGUCUGUUGUUAAAUACCUCGGCCUAACCGAGGACAUGCAUCAGAUACUGGUAUGCUAGAGGGUGGAAGAGAGAAGUGGAAUUCUCGGAGUAGCGGUAAAAUGCUUAGAUCUCGAGAGGAACACCAAUGGCGAAGGCAGCUUCUUGGUCCAUUCCUGACGCUGAGGUACGAAAGCGUGGGGAGCAAACAGGAUUAGAUACCCUGGUAGUCCACGCUGUAAACGAUAAUCACUAGACGUCAGUUUGGCUUUGCUGGAUUGGUGUCGUAGCUAACGCGUUAAGUGAUUCGCCUGGGAAGUACGGUCGCAAGACUA
rnacentral:rRNA from 1 species